UUCCCGGAGAGUUAGCGAGCGAGCGAGCAAGGACCACGACCGGAACCAGCUAACCCCACGUGGCGCCACCCAAAGCUGGAAGCGAGAGACCCUUCAGGUCACCUGAGCAACGCAAGCGGAAGCUGUAGGACCGGAGGACGAGCCCCGGAGGACGAGCCCCGGGAGAGUGACUGGAAUGUGGCUUUUACAGGGAGAUAAGGGCGUGCUGGUCCCUCAGAGCCUAGUCUCGUCUCUGUUCGCUGAGCUGCAAGAAAGGGAAUACAAAUACGUGCUGCCGUGCGUAGACUUGCCCAGUCCCUAAUAGGUCCUGUCAGUAUCUGCCGAGGUGUAGGAGACAUCUGACCUCUGAUCCCUGAGAUGAGACGGGCAAAAAAGCCGUUCAGUACUUUGAAAUUUUGUCAUACAACAGGCAGCACGCCAGAUCGAGACCACAAGCCAUCCCAGUGAAGUCACCCUGAGGGCAGAGGAAUAUGAACAAGUGUUUUGGAUAUUCCUGAAGCAGACACCACAAGCUAGGCAUUUUGUGAAGGUGGCCCGUGAUGGCACACAGCUCUACGCGACAAAUCCUGCCACCUCAAGUCCCGGGGUGCUGAGCUGCACCAGCACAUGGGGCAGCAGUACUUCCCAACAGUGCGGAGAAGAGCACAUGUCACCACUGGGCGAUGAGAGCAGACAGACUCUUGGCUUCUCAACGCCAGACACGGUCGGAGAGCUUUCCUUGUUCUAUUAGAAAAGUUCAUGAGGAAGCUGUGAAUAGGAUCAGUCCAGAGAAGUAAAACUCUUUUAUUUUCACUGUC